rnacentral:rRNA from 1 species
CUGAAUAAGGGGCAGGAGGCGGCGUAAAAAGGGAGGGGGCAAGGUGGGUCCGAUUUGACGGGGCGGAAAGCGAAGGCAGGCGGUGGUGAAAGUCGGACGGUGAAGCUCCUGGCUCAACUGGGAGAGGUCGUUCGAAACUGCACGGCUUGAGGUUGGAAGAGGAGAGCGGAAUUCCCGGUGUAGGGGUGGAAUGCGUAGAUAUCGGGAGGAACACCAGUGGCGAAAGCGGCUCUCUGGUCCACACCUGACGCUCAGGUGCGAAAGCGUGGGUAGCGAACGGGAUUAGGUACCCUAGUAGUC